GUUAACAAAUCCACAGGCAGCUUUCAAGAAAUUGUCAUUUUUGUUAUUCAUGCUUUUCAAAACUGGAGGUUGAGUUUUCGCCAACCAGGGAGAAUGAUGCAGCAAAGGAAUUUAAGAAAAUUUAUAUUCAAAUAUUUGAGAGGCUUAAGAAUAGUUUUAAUGUGGAGUUAAUUGGGCAAAUUAUAGGGUACUUUCUAGUUCUCUAGAGUUUUACUUGUAUAUAUA
rnacentral:misc_RNA from 1 species